GACCCUCUAACUCGUUUCUGGUGUUUCUUCUCCGUCCCGGCGUGAACAAAUUGCCAAGUUUCCCCAAAACUGGCUUCCUUUUGUUCUCUUCUGGUGGUUGGGCUCUAGACUGAAAAACAAAAGGGGGUGGGGAGAGAAUAUAUGAGAAUCCGACUUUUUCCUCCUUACUAGUAGGUGCGUUAGGGAACUGCAAGCCGAAAUAACAGGCCGGAGCUUCUCAUUGAAAAUGGGAGAGUUGUUUUUGUUGCGCUCAUCCCAACAAAAUUAACUCGGAUUUUACUUCUCGAAUUUUUCUUAAACACCGUCUAUGAUUGGCGAUACUCAGAUGCAACUUCAAAACAGCCCUGUGCGACUGUAGAGCAGCAGUGGACGCGCUCAAGUACCUGAAGGCGGAAUUUUUCCUGAACCAUCAUCACUCUCCUUGUGGGAGGGAGGCUGAGAAGCCACCUGGGUUCAACGUAAUUGCAAACCACAGCCUUCGGGAGGCGGGGUGCCAGCACCUGGGCCCGCCCUCCGCAGACCUGUGGUUCCCGCGCGCCUGCGCUGCUCCAGGGCGGCCGGCACGCGGGCCUCAAACGCCCGCCCCACCCAACCGGUCCAACCCCGCGGGUUCCCAGGGGUGCGAAUUGGGAAGGCACCCGGGGGAAGGGGGGCGAGCUCCGCACACGCUCCCCUCCCGUCCGGGGGAGGCGCGCCGCCCCCAGCGCGUGGGGCCCUGCGCCCGCGGACCUCAGCCCCGGGAAGCGCCCGGCCGGAGCCCCAGCGCGGUGGGAGGGGGCCCGGGAAGGGGCAGGUCCUGCUCAAAUAGCCCACAGCAGAACGGCUCCCGCCUGGAGUCCGCACCGGCCAGGAGGGCGCCUGGAACGAGUCCGUGAAAGCCAGCCCGCCGGUUAUAUGCAGCCAGUGGACUUUGGAGAUGGUGGGAAAUAGGAAAGACUAAGAUAAAGCUUGGAAUUAACAGGGUCAGCAAGCAUUUAUGGAGACAGUCCUGGCACUGAAACAUCAGGUAAUUCUGCAACAGCCUGGUGAGAUGUGUUACCCCACCGCGGGGAUGAGAAGGUGCAGCUUGGACAGCCAGGAGAGUGUGCGACGGAGGAGGGGCAGUAAAGUCAGCAUUCAAACCCAUGUCCUCAGCCUCCAGCCUGUGCUCCCAGAGGGGCCGUCAGACGAUAUGGAGGUACCGUGGGUACCCCUGAGAAAGUCAGCCUGGAGGAACAGAUUGGCGGCCACACACUCCCAGAAAUAGCUCCUGAGGAAGCAACUCAUAAAUCAGGUUUACCCACAAAUUCCAGAGGUGAUUCUUCUGGUUUGAGAUGCACUUGCUGGGAGCUUUGGAACUAGACAGCUGCUCCACGAAGGGAUGGAAUGAUUUUGCAGCCCCUGGGAGCUUUUGUGACUGAGCUGAUAUGAUCUCCUCAGCGUAACCAGGUUUUGAUUAAUAAUUCAAUUCUUUAAUGGUUAUAUAAAUAAUACAGGAAUAAUUCACAGUGUAAUUUGGUAAAAAAAUACAUUAAAAUAUUCCAAAUUCCUAAGGAAUAUAUUUGGACUCUUUUACUAUGCAUUAUUAAAAGACAUGACCAAAGAUGGAGUCACUCAUGUUAAUGACCCUGUGUCAGGAAACCAAGAUUUAAUACCCAUCCUAACAAGGAAUGUAACCUUUAACUGGUCAAUAUGGGACUUCCUAGUCACCACUAGGAAAUUUAGUGAUAGAGCCUUGUCUGUACAUGAAUGUCCAUUCCCUCAGAGGGCAAUCUUGUCCAAAACAAUGGAGACUCUGUUAAUACUUUCCUUUUUCCCCCCAUUCCCUCUCUACCUUUAACACAUUUCCUCCUCUGAAGCUUAACAAAACUCCCCUUAACCUGUUAGAU